GGGGAAGUAGCUUAGUUGGAUAAAGCGCCAGCCUGUCACGUUGGAGAUCACGGGUUCGAGUCCCGCCUUUCUCG
rnacentral:tRNA from 1 species